ensembl:snoRNA LOC120099470 small nucleolar RNA SNORA48
UACCCCAGCAAUGGGCAAAGAGACACCUUGUUGUUGGUGUUGUUCUCAUAUCAGUCAGGGGCAGAUCAGAUGGCAGUCCUUUGUUCAUCCUACCUUGAUGCCUGGCUGGGUGGCCAAAGCUGUUCUAUGCCUAGGACAUAUCA